CUGUUUUUAUACAUAUAUAUAUAUAUAUAUAUAUAUAUAAAUAUAUAUAUAUAUAUAUAUAUAUUUUUUUUUUUUUAAUUAGGGUAGCCCCCAAAAUAUUGGGACAUAUAAAAAAAGACAACUCUGUUCUGCAGAGUAGCUGUUGACAUUAUAGUUGUGCAGGAACUUUGUUGACUCUAGAGAACCUCAGGCAAAUCGCACAUCCCCGUGAUGCGACUUUGCAUGCGGAUGUCAUCAAUAUGAACUUUCGAUGCCAGUUUCUGCACCUACCGUAGUGACCACGGGUAAUGGGGAAUCAGAGAAACGGCUACCACAUGCAAGGAUGCAGCAGGCGUGUAAAUGACCCACUCACGACGCGGGAAGGUAGUGAUGACAAAUAACAAUACAGGACUCUAAUUUAGAGGCCCUGUAAUUGUAAUGAGUCCACUUGAACUCCUUUAACUCUGAUCAAUUGGAGGGAAGUCUGGUGCAGAGCCACUGACCCGUGCGUGCUGCAGCUAAAACCCCACUAUCGCCUGCUGCUGCUUGCAAAGUCUCAUGAGCGGGAAGGCCGAAGUUACACUGCAGCUCAGACAG